AUUGAACGCUGGCGGCAGGCCUAACACAUGCAAGUCGAACGAGUGGCGGACGGGUGAGUAAUGUCUGGGAAACUGCCUGAUGGAGGGGGAUAACUACUGGAAACGGUAGCUAAUACCGCAUACCAUCGGAUGUGCCCAGAUGGGAUUAGCUAGUAGGUGGGGUAACGGCUCACCUAGGCGACGAUCCCUAUCUGGUCUGAGAGGAUGACCAGACACACUGGAAGUGAGAAAAGGUCAAGACUCCGAAGGGAGGCAGCAGGGGGGAAUAUUGCACAAUGGGCGCAAGCCGGAUGCAGACAUGCCGCGUGUAUGAAGAAGGCCUUCGGGUUGUAAAGUACGUUCAGCGGGGAGGCGUUACCCGCAGAAGAAGCACCGGCUAACUCCGUGCCAGCAGCCGCGGUAAUAC
rnacentral:rRNA from 1 species